rnacentral:rRNA from 1 species
UACGAAGGGGGCUAGCGUUGCUCGGAAUCACUGGGCGUAAAGGGCGCGUAGGCGGAUCUUUAAGUCGGGGGUGAAAGCCCAGGGCUCAACCCUGGAAUUGCCUUCGAUACUGGAGAUCUUGAGACCGGAAGAGGUAAGUGGAACUGCGAGUGUAGAGGUGAAAUGCGCAGAUAUCAGGAAGAACACCCGUGGCGAAGGCGGCUCUCUGGGACGGUACUGACGCUGAGACGCGAAAGCGUGGGGAGCGAACAGG